rnacentral:rRNA from 1 species
UGGGGAAUUUUGGACAAUGGGGGCAACCCUGAUCCAGCCAUGCCGCGUGAGUGAAGAAGGCCUUCGGGUUGUAAAGCUCUUUCGGCGGGGAAGAAAUUGCACUCUCUAAUACAGGGUGUAGAUGACGGUACCUGAAGAAUAAGCACCGGCUAACUACGUGCCAGCAGCCGCGGUAAUACGGAGGGUGCAAGCGUUGUUCGGAUUUAUUGGGCGUAAAGCGCGUGUAGGCGGUUUUGUAAGUCUGAUGUGAAAGCCCCGGGCUCAACCUGGGAAGUGCAUUGGAAACUGCACGGCUAGAGUGUGACAGAGGGGGGUAGAAUUCCACGUGUAGCAGUGAAAUGCGUAGAGAUGUGGAGGAAUACCGAUGGCGAAGGCAGCCCCCUGGGUUACUACUGACGCU